rnacentral:lncRNA from 1 species
CCCGGGGGAGAUGUGGAGCGCUCAACUAAAGAAAAGAGAGUGGGAUGACAGUAGUGAGCAUACGGGUAUUUUUGUGUAUGUUAACUCUGACCUACACGGGACAGGCUACGACUGCAGGUUAGAUUAUGUUAGGAAUGUAAAUUCCAGUAAUUAUGUUCUCUUUCCCAGGGGAGUAGGAAGGUGCGCCAUUGGAGUAAAGGAAAGUGAGCGGAAUGGAAGCAAGUUCUGGGAUGUUAAAGUAGCAUUCUGGCCACCUCAAUGCCGUUUGGACCAGGACGUGAGAGUAACAUGGAUAAAGAAGGUGACCUCAGGGGCAUCCGACUGGGCCGAUAGGAUGAUGACCGGAAUGCGAGAAACAUGGUGGGGACCUGAGGACGAGGGUGAGCCUGGGAAAAAGGAAGAGACGUUAGAUGGGCGAUUCCAGAAUAGUUGGUACAGGUGGGUUCAAUUCGCGGGUCAACUUAACGGGAAGACUGAUUGCUACAUCUGUACUAAGGCGCGGCCGGACCGGUUUUAUGUGAUAAACACUGUUUUCAGUUGGCAGGAAUGCAAACAGGCCUUGCGUACUAACACACAAAAUCCUAGACCUUGGUGUAGAGCCGAAUGCUUAUUGUAUUUAGGAUCACCCUCUUUUCAGUCAUCAGUUGAUUUUUUCAUCUACGGGAAAACGAACGCUCAGCGUUGCGAAGAUUUCAAUGUGAAAAUAGGACAACACAGCGCGAUGAUGGGGAUGCAGAGUAAUGCCCCUUUAAUCCCGGUUGGUAAGUUUUAGUGUAUUGAAAAAAUGGGGUUUGUGCCUUUGGGUAAGAUUAAGCGUAGCCUCUGUAGUCAUAGGUGGGAGUUGAACACUGCUAAUUGUACAAAAUCACAUCUUAAACCCACUGCUCUUGUUUCAGGCAAACUGGGAUCUGUUCUGAUCUGAUCUUUAGUUGCAGGUUGUCCCUAUUUUGACCAGACAAUCGCGUUGGCAGAUCACUUCUGGUGGUGUGGAGGCCAACAGCUUUAUUCAACUUUACCUAUAAGAUGGGCAGGUAGGUGUGUCCGGGUGCAAGUUGCACAAGAGCUGAUUGCGUUUAGGGAGCAGGAUAAGGAUGUCAACAGCAGAAGCAAGCGGAGCUACCAACCAGAUCCCAGAGUUUACCUGGAUUCCAUUGGCCAACACCGAGGAAUUCCAAACGAGUUUAAGGCAAGGAAUGAGGUUGCAUCAGGGUUUGAGUCUAUAUUACCUUGGAUAACGACGAAUCGCAAUACCGAGGGGCUGAACUUCAUUUUUUUUAAUCAGCAGCGCUUUAUUAAUUACACUGACGACGCGUUGGGGGCAUUGGGAAAGCAGGUGAGUGCCACAAGUGCGGUGGCGUGGCAGAACAGGCAGGCGUUAGACUGGAUCUUAGCAGAAAAAGGAGGAGUGUGUGCGCUUGUGGGAGAAGUGUGCUGUACUUAUAUUCCAGGACACACGGCCCCGGAUGGGGCCUUCACAGAGGCUAUGAAGAGGCUGAGGUCGCUCAGGAUGGAGGUAAAAGAGGCGGCUGGCAGCGAUGCGAACUUGAGCUGGACAAACUGGCUGGAGAGUGUGGCCGGAGGAUGGAGACAAGGGCUGAUCAAACUGGGGGUAAUGAUUACUGUAGGAGUAGUAGCUUUGGGACUGAUUUUUUGUUGUUGUAUUCCUUUCUUGAGAUCAGUAGCGCUUAGAGCCGUGACCAAGCAGAAUUUGCAGAUGGCAGUUAUUGAGCUGGGAGAGAAGUAUGGGUGGAAGAGUGUAGGAAACGAGGAAGGUGACGUGUUUCCAGUUCCGGAAUGGAUCCACAUCACGACUCUAGACGAGGACAAGGAUGAAGACUCCCAGUUGGUGUGAUGUUGAAAAUGGCCUACGAUAUGUCAUGAAGGAAGAAAAAAAAAAGACUCAUUUUCAUACUGAAAAUGAGCUAAGAUGGUUGUUUAAUGAAUUUUAAUACUGAUGUUUUAUUAGUUGUAAUAGUCAGAUUUAUUAAUAGUAGUGUUAGAAAUGUAUCAUAUCCUUGUGUUAGCAGUAGUAUUAGAAAUGACACAUUAGUAACCAACUUAUAUAGGUCUCAUGAUCCCUUGUAUUGUUUCAUUGUGUUUAAUUGACCUGCUAUGAGGGUCUAAGUGUGUGAACUUGUCAGUAAUUUGUUUUGUGUUCUUUUUUUAGAGGCUGUUACUGAAUUCACCUGUGAAACGUUCUGAGGUCAUCAAGCUGGCUGCCCUAAAAAGUCCUGUAUGAGCAGUAUGAUGAAUUUGGCCUUUUUAAGUGAAGUGCCCACAUUGCUAAGGUUAAACAAAACGUAAAAUGGGGUUGGGACCUUGCUAGUGCUUAUCACUGGUUUAUGGUAGUUAAAGUAAAUUGGGCUUAGUUUAAUGGACAUUAUCUGUCCAUUGAGGGGGAAUUUCUGUAGUAUAUUCUGUUCCUCUUAUGGGGUUAUUUCUGUCCACUGCAACGAGGGUCAAGUUGACCGAGGUGUCAGAUUGGCCACUAAAACAAAUACGCUGCUGCAGCUGUGUAAACAUGGACUUUCGAUUGACACGUAGGCACUUGCUGGUUGCAUAAACAACAAAUCUUUAAAAAGUGGGCAUUGGGAGAUGUUUAUUAGAGUGCCUCGUAGAGGGUCUGCUGCAGACACCCACCUUUUUCGACCUCUCAGUUUGUUCUGCAGACGAACCUCCAGGUGAAUUCGGCCACCACCUCUCUCAUGAAAAUUCUGUAAUUGUACUAUUUCAUUAUGUGUAAUAAAUUCAUUUGUUAAUUUGAGCA